ensembl:snoRNA
CAGCAUGUUUCCAAGGGCUAUGGCUGGUUGCAGCCAUGGGAUCUCCAACUGCAUGUUAGAGCAACCUGAAGAGACGGACAGCUCAGUUCAGCUCAGGACCUGCAGCUGCCACUCACCUUUCCUAUAAUG